UUCGGGUUGUAAAGUACUUUCAGCGGGGAGGAAGGGUUCAGCUUGAACAGAGCUGGAUUUUGACGUUACCCGCAGAAGAAGCACCGGCUAACUCCGUGCCAGCAGCCGCGGUAAUACGGAGGGUGCAAGCGUUAAUCGGAAUGACUGGGCGUAAAGCGCACGCAGGCGGUCAAUUAAGUUAGAUGUGAAAUCCCCGGGCUCAACCUGGGAAUGGCAUCUAAGACUGGUUGGCUGGAGUCUCGUAGAGGGGGGUAGAAUUCCAUGUGUAGCGGUGAAAUGCGUAGAGAUGUGGAGGAAUACCGGUGGCGAAGGCGGCCCCCUGGACGAAGACUGACGCUCAGGUGCGAAAGCGUGGGGAGCAAACAGGAUUAGAUACCCUGGUAGUCCACGCUGUAAACGAUGUCGAUUUGGAGGUUGUGGCCUUGAGCUGUGGCUUCCGAAGCUAACGCGUUAAAUCGACCGCCUGGGGAGUACGGCCGCAAGGUUAAAACUCAAAUGAAUUGACGGGGCCCGCACAAGCGGUGGAGCAUGUGGUUUAAUUCGAUGCAACGCGAAGAACCUUACCUACUCUUGACAUCCAGAGAAAGACCUCAGAGAUGAGGUUGUGCCUUCGGGAGCUCUGAGACAGGUGCUGCAUGGCUGUCGUCAGCUCGUGUUGUGAAAUGUUGGGUUAAGUCCCGCAACGAGCGCAACCCUUAUCCUUUGUUGCCAGCGCGUAAUGGCGGGAACUCAAAGGAGACUGCCGGUGAUAAACCGGAGGAAGGUGGGGAUGACGUCAAGUCAUCAUGGCCCUGACGGAGUAGGGCUACACACGUGCUACAAUGGCGGAUACAAAGUGAAGCGACCUCGCGAGAGCAAGCGGAACACACAAAGUCUGUCGUAGUCCGGAUUGGAGUCUGCAACUCGACUCCAUGAAGUCGGAAUCGCUAGUAAUCGUAGAUCAGCAUGCUACGGUGAAUACGUUUCCCGGGGCCUUGUACACACCGCCCGUCACACCAUGGGAGUGGGUUGCAAAAAGAAGUCGGUAGCUUAACCGCAAGGAGGGCGCUGACCACUUUGUGGCUCAUGACUGGGGUGAAGUCGUAACAAGGUAACCGUAGGGGAACCUGCGGUUGGAUCACCUCCUUACCU
rnacentral:rRNA from 1 species